GUGUGCAAGUUGUGUGGCGUUUAACGAGAUUUUCUGUGUUUUGAGCAGGUGAAAUUAUGUUAAGUUGACCUGAGAGUGUCAGGACCCUGAAGAACUUGUGGCAAAAAG